rnacentral:rRNA from 1 species
UGGCGCACGGGUGCGUAACGCGUGGGAAUCUGCCCUUGGGUUCGGAAUAACAGUUGGAAACGACUGCUAAUACCGGAUGAUGACGUAAGUCCAAAGAUUUAUCGCCCAGGGAUGAGCCCGCGUAGGAUUAGCUAGUUGGUGGGGUAAAGGCCUACCAAGGCGACGAUCCUUAGCUGGUCUGAGAGGAUGAUCAGCCACACUGGGACUGAGACACGGCCCAGACUCCUACGGGAGGCAGCAGUAGGGAAUAUUGGACAAUGGGGGCAACCCUGAUCCAGCAAUGCCGCGUGAGUGAUGAAGGCCUUAGGGUUGUAAAGCUCUUUUACCCGAGAUGAUAAUGACAGUAUCGGGAGAAUAAGCUCCGGCUAACUCCGUGCCAGCAGCCGCGGUAAUACGGAGGGAGCUAGCGUUGUUCGGAAUUACUGGGCGUAAAGCGCACGUAGGCGGCGAUUUAAGUCAGAGGUGAAAGCCCGGGGCUCAACCCCGGAACUGCCUUUGAGACUGGAUUGCUAGAAUCUUGGAGAGGCGAGUGGAAUU